UGGGAGGCAGCAGUGGGGAAUUUUGGACAAUGGGCGCAAGCCUGAUCCAGCAAUGCCGCGUGAGUGAUCAAGGCCUUAGGGUUGUAAAGCCCUUUUACCAGGGAUGAUAAUGACAGUACCUGGAGAAUAAGCUCCGGCUAACUACGUGCCAGCAGCCGCGGUAAUAC
rnacentral:rRNA from 1 species